CAGAAGGCCACUCAAGGCUCAGGGGCUCAACCACCUGGGUAACGAGUGGCUACCUCUGGCAGAAAACAUUGCUGAUCUGGCUACUGGACUCCAAAAACUUUGUAACAUCAAUAUCAUUACAGAAUAAUCUGGCCCAUUCAUGGAGACCGUCGGAUCAGAUUCUGCAUUGGCCCAGCAGGUUGCUUUUAAUGCAAGAACUAUGCAGACCCAGGCACAGACCAUUCAAGUGCUGCAGGAUCAGGUAGCUGAACUGCAAAAUUAAGUUCGAUCAAUGCAUAGUGAGCUUACCAGCUACAGGGCAC